UAUAUUCUAUUUUUCAGUAAAAGUUCGGAUACUUCCAACAACACCUGAUUUAAAGCUUGUUCCCAAAGAGACUAUUGGAAGUUUUCAAAUUGAAAACCCUGAUGGAAUAGUACUGGGGUAUUGGCCAAUGUUGUCUUUUGCUGAAGGAAUUGCACAGUUUGAGUUAGCUUUACCUGAUGAACCAACCUAUGGAAUGUGGCGUAUCAAAGGGAACAUUGAAGAUACUGAAAUUUAUGAGAAUUUUGAAGUUAAAGAAUAUGUUUUGCCAAAGUUUGAAGUCAAAAUAACUCCUCCUUCAUACCUACUGACCAAUGCUGACUCAAUCACAUGGAAAAUAUGUGCCCAGUAAGUAGAAC